ACUUACAGCCCAGACCCACAGCUAAGGUCCCAAAUUACAUUUAAGUGGAAAAGGAUGUGGGGUUGCAUAAACAACCAGGAUGUUGGCUUAGAAGCAGCCAUACAUUAAAAGAGUGCGUAAUAGCUCACUGGUCGAGUGACCCUGCGCCGAAAAUUCAACGGGGCUAAAAUGUAAACCGAAGCUUGGGAUUCGCAGCAAUGCGAGUGGUAGGAGAGCGUCGUGUAAGAGGCGAAGUCGGAGCGGAAGCGCCGGUGGAUUUUACACGAGUGAGAAUGCCGGAAUGAGUAGCGAGAAUUAUGUGAGAAUCAUGAUGGCCGAAAGUCUAAGGUUUCUUGAGGAAGGUUCGUCCGCUCAAGGUAAGCCGGGAGCUAAGGUGAGGCGGAAACGCGUAGCCGAUGCACAUACGGUAGAAAUUCCGUAGCCUCCAAAAGAUUAAAGCAGAAGGACACUUUGAAAGCGAUGUUGCCGGGCGUUGGUUGCCCCGGUCGAAAGGGACUGAAAUUUAGUAAGGAAGUCAUCGUAGACGAAGGCGAGAAAAGUUCUGUGUAUAUCUUCGGAGCCCGUACCGCAAACCGACACAGGUAGAUAGGAAGAAAAUUCUAAGGCCAACGGGAGAAGGGUAGUUAAGGAACUCGGCAAGUUGACCCCGUAACUUAGGGAUAAGGGGUGCUCAAGAAAUUGAGCCGCAGAGAAUAGGCCCAGGCGACUGUUUAGCAAAAACACAGCUCUAUGCUAAAUCGAAAGAUGAUGUAUAUGGGGUGACACCUGCCCGGUGCCGGAAGGUUAAGAGGAGGAGUGAGAGCUCUGAAUUGAAGCCCCGGUAAACGGCGGCCGUAACUAUAACGGUCCUAAGGUAGCGAAAUUCCUUGUCAGGUAAGUUCUGACCCGCACGAAUGGCGUAAUGAUUUGGGCACUGUCUCAACAGCCCGCCCGGCGAAAUUGUAGUACCGGUGAAGAUGCCGGUUACCCGCGACAAGACGGAAAGACCCCAUGGAGCUUUACUGUAGCCUAAUAUUGGGUUUCGAUGUUGCAUGCACAGGAUAGAUGGGACACAGGGAAACAAUCGCUUUGGCGGUUGCGGAGUGGCCGUUGGGAUACCAUCCUUGCGAUAUUGGAAUUCUAACCUGCGGCUCUGAAUCGAGUCGGGGGACAUUGUUAGGUGGGCAGUUUGACUGGGGCGGUCGCCUCCUAAAGAGUAACGGAGGCGUUCAAAGGUUCGCUCAGCUUGAACGGAAAUCAAGCAAAAGAGUGCAAACGCAGAAGCGAGCCUAACUGCGAGACUGACGGGUCGAGCAGUAACGAAAGUUGGAGUUAGUGAUCCGGUGGUAUGUGAGUGGAAAUGCCAUCGCUCAACGGAUAAAAGCUACCCUGGGGAUAACAGGCUGAUCUCCCCCAAGAGUCCACAUCGACGGGGAGGUUUGGCACCUCGAUGUCGGCUCAUCGCAUCCUGGGGCUGUAUUCGGUCCCAAGGGUUUGGCUGUUCGCCAAUUAAAGCGGUACGCGAGCUGGGUUCAGAACGUCGUGAGACAGUUCGGUCCCUAUCUGUCGUGGGCGCAGGAUAUUUGAUGGGAGCUGUCCCUAGUACGAGAGGACCGGGACGGACGUACCUCUGGCGCACCAGUUGUUCCGCCAGGAGCAUAGCUGGGCAACUACGUACGGAUCGGAUAAACGCUGAAAGCAUCUAAGCGUGAAGCCGACCCAAAGAUAAGAUAUCCCAUUGU
rnacentral:rRNA from 1 species